GGUCAAUGAAUCUUCUUGUGAGAAGGAAAAAAUUAUAGGUUAUACAAGGUAGUUCAGGGGUUUCAUGUGAAAGAGAUUUAAAGCUGUUUCCAGCACCUGAACUGCUUCCAUCAUUUAGGGGAGCCAACACAGUCCUCUCAGAGGAAGCCCCAAAGAUAUCUUCUCUUGUGCUAUGCUGGUGCUCAUAUGGAGAGGUGCCCAAAAUGCUUCAGUUACAGAAUUUUACUGGUCACUUCCUAUAAUGGUGUCUGAGCCCAUUAUUUAGGACAAGAGAUCAUGGGUAUGUUUUUCCCCAGAGAUUGUUCUACCUGGAAACACUGGUCUGCAUAGCAUGAACACAGGCUGCAAUUCAGCAAAAUCUAUGGGGGCCAAGCAACCCCCUUUGCUUCAGUGAAACUACCCAUGUAUCACACUGAUGGUGAGAGUUUUGUGCUGAAGAGGAACACAGAAAAACCAAGGUUUCCUACAGCCAAAGCACUUUCCCACCACGGGUAGGACACCCUUACGAAGGGCUCUGCACUGGCAGUGGUGUGCCACAAGCUGGGCUACACCAGCUUUAUUUGCACCUUGGUGCAGGCUGGGAGGUCCCCAUGCUGUGCCUGGCUGCAAGAUGUACAUCACAGUCCUUUCUAUGAGGCUGAACCUCACCAUCCUUGAUGAUUUUUUUUUUAUCGACCUUCUUCAGCUCAUGGUUUGCAAUGGUUUUUGAGCAAACAAACUGGUUUUGGCCAUGUUGGUGCAGGCUCAUCCUCAGCUGUUUCUUUUGGCGAGGAUGAGCAGAGGCCUUCCCAAGGAGCCUCACACUUGUUACUGCUGUGCCACAGUCCUCUACCUUGUCUCUGGCUCUGCUGGCGAAAGGCUCCCACUAAGCUCCGUGCUUCUGGAAGCGCCCGGGACAUCGGCAAAUGCUGAGAGAAGUGAUCAUUGGAGGGUUUCCUGUGGGCAUGUCAGGUCUCUUCAGAAGGCUUUUCAAUCCCUGCUUGCACUUGAAGAGCCAAAGCCACUUGAAGUCUCUUCUGUGUUAUCAUUAACUUCAGACACUGCAGUGCACAAGGUCACUGGGUUAAAAAUCCUUUAAAAUGCUGUAUGAAAGGGAAAACAAAGCUUUUUCUGUAGCAACUUCAGGUGCAGCAGCAGAAGGACAGCUGAAUUGUUUAGAGAAUAAUUGCCUCAAAGCCUCUGCUUUUCAGGUCUGCCCUUUUCAUGCAAGUUUGUGCUAAAACUGCUCCCUUGGGCUGUACAGUGGGAGCAAGAGGACGGGGAGGCUAUGUCCAUCCUUGCAGGCAGGACCAGUGUGCCUGAGAAAAUGAUGAAGACUUUUCCCCUAAUGCUUGGGGCACCCCUGAGUGUGUAUGUGUGAGACCAAUUACAAGCUGCCACAGCUGCACUUAACCAGUGUCACGCUGAGGCUGAGAAUGUCUCUAUGUGAUAAAUGUGUGAGGUCCCGUGUGUGAGCCUGUGGGGGUGCUGCAAAGCAGCCUUCAUGAUCGUGUUCCCCUUCCCAGGGGAAGGAGGUGAGCCAAAGCCGGAUGCCUUGUGGACACUCACUUCAUGGAAAAGAGGCUUGUUUCAAGUAGAUAAAAUGAUCCCCAGCUGACUUUGCUUGACUGAGAUAAGUAUGUCCUUUCCACAGAGCAUACAUGUCAUUUCAUCAUGUACGCAUUUACUGGGGCCACUUCUCUAUUCAUCCUACAGGCUUGAUCAAAUUGUCCUAUUUCCAAGAGCUCAGCUAAUGCUGCAGGUGCCCCUGUCCCGCUGCAGCUGUGAGGCAAAACCUUCAUUUAAACCUCAAGGAGAGAUAUUUGUGUUGACAUGUCAGAUGUCAUGUUUGUGAAGGGCUACAGUGUGAGCAUGAGCGACUACUGUGACUCAGGUGGUAUGCUGUAACUUGGUUGUCUGUUUGUACUCCAAGAAAAAAACAGAAUUCGGUUUCCCAGUGGCUGAAUGGUGUUAAACUUACGUGGACAGCUAAAAUGGCCUAGAUUUGAAAGUUAAUUAAGAUCAACCUAAUUAAGGCUAAAGUAUCUGUGAAUGUGAGUAUCCCCAACAGCAUUUGAUGCAGUUUAACACAUUCACCUUAAAUUCAGACCUUUAGUUAAUGGAGACUAAAUUUCUUGUUCAACAAGCACUGAGCUGGAGACCUACCCAUGGAUAUAGGGCAGCUCCCAGCAGGUUAAUGCGUGGCUGCUGCCCAGUGACUGAAAACUGGCAGCAAGGUGAGAGAACAGGGCAGUUAACCAAAAAGCUCUGUGGUAAAGAAACCCCAGUGUGUGAGGCCCUGUUUUGUCAUUAUAAUCCCUCGUGCUUUGCCUGAGCCAUAUGGCAGUAGUUGCUUUUCAUAGCUCAUCCCCAGGGCACAGGGAAUGCCAAUCUCCCGCUUGUAAAUUAGCUGGUGCAUUGAUAAAUUAGACAGCAAUGUGAGCUGCAGCGGAUUAUUGCACAGUUACUCCCCAACAGUCAAUGUGGUACUGUGUUUUCAUUGCUCUUGUCUUGCCAAAAGGACGAGAGGAGCGCAGAGGUGCUGGCUGGUGGUCAGGGCACUCUUGGCAGUCGCCACCCACCAUCCUCCCUGUGCCUGUCCUCUGGCAGAGCUGAGGAGACCCUGCCCAAGCCUGGCCUUCAUUGAAGGGCAGCAUCUCUCCCUCACAAAUGAGGAGGUUGCAGCAGCAAGGACACAGCCUGGGGAACUGAGCCAGCCCAUGGUCAUGUCGAGGGAUAUGACUACCUUGGCCACUCCAUCUCCUCUGGCAACAAGGUGAGGCCAGUAUCUCCCAUGACUGUGUCAGGUGAACCUGACUGCUUCACCUCUGGGGAAAAGCUUUUCUUGCUUUUUUCUUGGAGCAAGGUUGGGGUUAGUAUAGAUGCACCUCAGCCUGGGAAGCCUCGCUCUAGGUUUCAUGGGGAAAUACAUCAUUCAGCCUAGAGUUUCUAGGUUUCAUGCAUUAUUCAGCCUGGAGUAAGUCUAUGACCCACUGCUGAGCUGGCAGCUUGUCCUCUGUUUGCACGAGCAGCUGAGAGAUUCUCUGUGCUAAGUGAAUGUCCUCCCAGCUUGGAAGGGGCUGUGCUCUUAAUUCCUCUGCUUGGCAAGGCUUCUGCACUUGUGUUUUCUUCUGAAUCACAAAGUUCAGUGGUGCAAACCACUCUGUCACUAUAACUGAAACUCAGGCAAGCUAGACAGCUCAUGCCACAGACACAGGUUUUUAAAUGAGCUCUUUCUAUUACCUGUGUAGAGAGAAGUUCCUAGGAAUCAUCUUGCACUCUUUCUCUCAGAUCAUUAGGGCAUAUGAAUGACUGCUGACUAACGGAGGGGAGAUGAGCAGGGACAGGAGUCUCCUGGAGGCCUGGAGCAAGCACAAAAAUGACAGCAAACUUUUGCUGGACUGCUGGAGAGCAGUGCCUGGCUGCAGCAGAUUGUGUGCCUCGGGAUGUGGAUGGGGAGGCUGGCGAAGCUGCUCCCAUGCUGUGAGCUCAAGAGUCUCCUCCUUGGACACCAACCGAAUGGACGACACUGAAUCUCCAAGUAGCCCCAUGGUGUGACUUGACUGGAUGAUCCUGCCUGCCCUUCCCAGCUCUGUGCCCCUAAAUCCACCUUCUACUUUCAACCUGCCAGGGACUCUGGUCUUCCUUGGGUACAAUGGCCAGAAUGUGAGAGUGUCAGUGCCCGUGAACACUGCGGUGCUAUGAACUCUUGCUCGCCUGGGUGGGAUGUGCAGGAGAGAGGCAGAUGAACAAAGAAGGGGUUAACCAGUUAUGUGUGCCUGUGGUGUCUUCAUUGCCCCCACCUUGAGGGGCUUAUGGGUAUGGCCCAGCACAGCUGUCUGUGGUACCGCUGCCCUGGCUGGAUGGGUACGUACAGUGUCUGCUUCUUCCAGAGACAGUUCAGAGAACCAACAAAAUGAAUAUGGCCCAUAUUAAUACAUCAUCAGUAGUCAAGUAUACAAAGGAAGAAGACGGUGGCCUCGAUGGAAAUCAUCUGAUUGAAGCCAAAGGUGCUUUUAAAUUUCCACUUCUUCUUGCCAAGAUAUUCUUUGGAAAAAAAAAAAAUUGUGUUUUGAGCAUAAACCCUACCUUGCUUUAGGGUUGGAGAAACCUGGGGGUUUUCUUGUCUGUUUGUUUGCUUGUUUCUUCUUGCACUGAUUUGCUGGCAAUUCCUGCUUGAAAGCUUUACUGGACAAUGACAGAAUCCUUUUGUCUUGCCUGCCAAAUACAGCAGAUCAUCACAAGCAAAACAUUUAAUGUAUCACGUUUUGCAGACAAACUGGAAAAGAACUUGGAUGCUCUACUUCCUCUGAACUUGCUGCCAGAUCUCAUGGGCUGUUGUAUUCAAGCUAUAUGGUAAAAGCUUGCUUUACAGUAACUCCAAUAGGAGCCUCACUGAACUAUCUUUAAUAAAGAUUGGGCCAUACCUCAAGCAGUAACCCGAGCUGUGCUGCCUUUGUGCACAAAGGCUGUGGUGGUUCUGUUUCAUGAAGGGUCCCACAAAGUUCAAAGGGAUUAUCUGGAUCUAUAUGAGCACAAGUCCUCAGCUGCUACUAUGGAGUUUGAAAAUAGCCACCAGAGACUCUCUUGUGUGGACUCCAAAAAAGGGCAUUGCUCACUGUCUUGCAAUGUGAAGCCAUGAUGGGAAGAUCACUGAAGGAUGGAGAGUCUCACCUUGCCUGCCUGUGUGAACUUGGCUAUUGAUCUGCAUAGCAGCGGGACCUGGGGUUCUUGCAAGGUGACUGUUGUGAAAUAGAGUGAAACUUCCAUUGGGAGUAGUACAUUUGUGUGUGUUUGAAUUCUGCUGGGAAUAUGGACGUUUCCUGGAUGCCAUUCUCCAGGCCUUUUGAUUUCAUUCACAUUGCAUGAGAUAUAUAUGUUUGGUAUGUACUUGAGUUGCCCACAAAAGCAUGCAUCUGCUGCAAAGGUAGAGGAGCAGGCUGGAGCGAAGACUCGAGCUGAACUCAGCUGCUUCGUCUCCAUUCAUACCUGCAAGGCUGUGUAUGUGGCUGUACUUCCACCAGGAGAUCUCAUGUCAGAAAGAUGGAUGAUGACCAAGGAAACUGCUGAGCCAUGGAUGGAUUGCAGGGAUAUGUCACGAGAAAGACAUCUGGAGUCAUCUGCCCACAUGCUGUGACGCUGGCUCACAUUUCUAAAGCAGAACUGCAGACAGAGGAGAUCAUGAGUGCUCCAAAGAACUUAGCUAUCUAUGCAAGUUCCAUUUUUUUAUCAUUGUAGUGAGUCAUUUUGAAAGGCUCCUUUUUUGGUUCUCUUUACUUAGGCUGCUGGUUCCUCUUGCUUGUAUGCCCAGUGACAGUCCUGAGACUUGUGACUGGGACUGCAAAAGCCAUUGGGGCUGUUGCCAUGGUUUUUCUCUUCAGAAUGGUGGAAAUGUCAUCCUUCCUCACUUCUCUUUUUUAAGGGUAUGAAAGAUGCUUCUGAAGAGGAAGGAAUUUACUUCUUGGGAAUAAUCACAUACAACCAGGAUGAGUCCCAUGUGCAGACUUUCAGGCUGGAGGUAUGCUCUGGAAUUCUCAUGGGGAGGGGAACAUUUUGGUUUGUGUGGUAAAUUCAUGGUGUUUGCAAUCUCUGUCAUGGUUUUAGAAAUAGGUGCACUCCUGUGACCUUCAUGUCCAUCCCAAGUACAUUCUCCACAUGCUGGCUCCUCUGGAGCUACUCUUAAGUACCCGUGAGUAGUGGCCUUGUGUGAACCCCACACAGGCCUUUAGGAAAAUAAAUCAAUAUGACAAGCAUGCAUUAAUCAGACCAAUAUGUGGUAUUUAUUUUUUCAUAUACACUGGCACUUAUAAUAGUAAAUUACUACAGGGCAUCUUCACAUUUCUACUGAUGCUCUUCCUAUAUGUGAUGGAACAGGAGGGACAGUUUAAUAGGUCAUACAGGGACAGAAGGACAAGGAGCUGCUAUAUGAUGCUCUCUUCAGCAUAAACAUAUUGACUUUUCACUCAAAGGGGAGUGAACUUAUUGAAGAGUAUCCUCAGACAAUAAACUAAUUGUUAUGUUUUCAUCCUCCUUUUUCUCAGGAGGCAAAUGCAAAGAAUUUUCCAUACCUAAACCUGAGAGUCAUUCAUACUACAUAUGUAUUUAUCAAAUUCAAGUGGAUGGGAAGGCUGUCCCCUGAAGAACACAGUUGUGAAGGGCCAUAAAAUAGAUCAUUACAUCUAGUAACUGCAUUGAUGUGAACUGGUAACAGCAACGGACACAGUGCAAUUCCCUCCAUUCCUUCUGGAUUACACUGUGAUUGGAGAGAUGAUAAAGAAAACUUCUGCUAUGCAGAGUGUGAUUAUGAUAUCUGAAAGCCCCUCUGAAGAUAACAAUUUUGUUCUCUCUCUUUUACCUUCUGGUGUAUGUUGAAUCUUGGUUGCUGACUGAAGUGGUAACACAGAUAAUCAAGUUUUCAAAGAUUCAUAAAUCUAAUAACACUAAGAGAAGCUGAGAUGUAUUCUCUACUGAGUAGUGAAUCAUUAAUUGAACUGGUGUCAUGUUUUCCCUGUAAAAAAGCUAAAUCUGCAGUAGGGCUGAGAAAAGAUCUGAUUUGACUUUCAGUCUCCAGUGGGCUGACCAUUACGAAGGAAUCCUACUUGCUGCCUGCAUUAGGAAAAAAAGGGACACUGUGAAGAGACACUUUUCAAAGCAGCACCUCAUUUUCAGACCUGUGUUGAGGGGUCUGGUGGCCUGCAGCUAGGAAUACUUAGUGGUAUCAUUCAGAAAGGGGAUGCGCUGGCUGUGAACUGACAUGGGCCAGUUUUGAGUUGCUAUGCUCCUCAAAAGGGACUUUGCCAAAAAAGGAGAAGAAUUCAUCACCUAUUAGAACAUAUUCUGGCUGCACUAUACAAGCAAUUUACUAGAGUCUAUAUAUGAGUACUGGCAGUCUUUGAAACAGAAGAAGUAGGGUUUCUUUGUGUGCACUGAAGAAUUUUUGCUGUUGACUUCACUGGAGCUAUGAUUCUUCACCAGAUCCGUAUCCUGAAGGCCUAAAGUGCCCUUAAAAGGGCUACUGCAAAUUUAUAAACCCUAAUCACAGUCCCCAGUUGGCAUGACAACCAGCACCACUCCUGCUUAGGAUCUAGCCCUGCAAACCUGUAACCCUCUGUCUAUACCACACUCAGUACUCACUCAUGAGAUUCCUUUGUCCCUACCUUUUUUACUGGAACUUUUAUGACAAUAAAGAGCAUCUUUUUUUAAAAAAGUGUUUGAUGGCAAAUUAUAUUCCUGGGUACUUAAUGUUUCAAUGUUUGGGCUGCAAACACUCUGAGACAUGCUGAUUUGUUUAAUAGCUACAGUUCUUGCUGGAAAGUUUUAAAAUUGUGUAAACAUUCCUACUAGUUUUAUGGGUUUCUAAACUCUUUUUUUUAUGUGGGUACAAAUUCAAGUUGACAGUGUACUUUCCAAGCUUCCAUUAAAUAGGGCCGACUUGCUAUUGGUAGAGGAAUAUCUCUGAAAUAGCUUUCUGAUGUCUUGCAAUGGAAGACUUUUCAUUAACUCCGAUUAGAAAUAACCUACCAUGUAUAAGUCUUUUAUCAGUUCUUACUGUGCCCUAAUGUCUGUGGGACUCCUGCUGGUAGAAGGAGGAAGAGAAGAAAGUGAAAAAGUCCAAGGAUAAUUUAAUGGAGAAAGGAAGGUAUUUUCACUGCACAUUGUGUUUGCCAGUUACUGUUACCAUAAAGCCAUCAAAGAUUUUAAUGCUUUGAAACUUCUCACUUACAGGUUGCAGUAUGUUGGUGCUUUCCUCACAUAACUAUGUUUUACCUCUCUUCAAGUGUGUCAGUGCUGCUUUAAAAGAUCAGUAUAGAAAACUGCAAUUACACCAUCUGGUUUCAGUUUUCCUUAAUUCGGUGUCAGCCAGGCUCCUACAAUCCAGAUGAUUAAAAGGGACAGAGCUAAACCUGCUGCAUUUUUGGGAUUUAAGCCUACCUUUUCCCCCUGUAAAUUUUGACCUUUUCAAAAUGAGCUCCCCCCUCCCGCAAACAUGGAACAUAAAGCAAAUGUUUGCUACUUUUAUCAGUGGAGCCAAAUUCCGUGCAUUCUGGCUGCUUUGCACUGACAGAAAAAUUAUUCCAAAAUAAUUCGAGCUUGUAAAUGACACUGUAUGUCACUGUAAUAAUAACAGCUAACUUGGCCUUUUGCGAAGUAUGUAUUUUCUGAAGAAAUAUCAAUCUAAUAGGCAAACCCUGAUUAUGCUGACCUUGGGAAAAUGUAGCCUAAAGAAAGUAGUGGAUGUUUGUGACUGUUUUGAAAUCUCCUGACUGGAGUAGUUUCCCACUGUGCUUUUAUUACACCCAGUGGUGGGGUUCUCUCACUUGCCCUGUCUUCGGCCUGGGUCCUGAUGGCUCUGAAGAGGGAGCAGCAGCAGCUUCAGUCCCCUCUGCUGAGGAGCUCCCUGGGGAAGGAAAAUGUGCUGCGCAUAAAAAAAAUGGGUGUAACCACUGUUUGACUGUCUGCCAGAUUAUAAGACUAGACAGAGUUGCGCUGGGUACCAGUAUAGGCCAUGUAUAGUUGUUUCCUCUGUUCCCAGUAGCAUGACUGAGCCUUGGGAACAGUGACUUAGUGGGAUUGUUGGGAGGCUUGAUGAGCUGCUGUAUUCUUGUCUAGUUUCCCUUGUCAAGGUUGACUCAGAUUAUCACUGAACUUUCUAAUUUUUAUGCACACACAAUUUUUAAAUCCAUACAGAGGACACUUUUCAUGCUGAAAAUGCAGUUACACACUUCUCAGGCUUUGCAGAUGGUUGAGCACCAGUGAAGGAAAUUCAUUUGGUAACUGAGCUGGGAAAGUGCUUGGAAAUCCAGUUUCUAAUGCUUUCUUGUAGAUAUUCCCAUUGGACCAUGCAAAGAACUCUUCUGAUCUAUUUUACUGAAGAAACAGGAGAAAAUAAAAUUCUAAAAAAGUCUUUUAAAAUGAAAACCUUUGAGAGCUUAAUUAAAUGCACUGUGAGAAAAACGUGCCGUUCCCUUUCAGCUAUUGACUUGAGGUUUA